rnacentral:rRNA from 1 species
GUCUAUGGCCAUGCCACUCUGAACAAGCCUGAUCCCGUUUGAUCUUGGAAGCUAAGCAGGGUCGAGCCUGGUUAGUAUUUGGCGGGAGACCACGUAGAAAGACCAGAUGCUGCAGGUA